UCCAUGAUUAAUAAAAUUAAAUAGCUGCAGAAUUUUAACUGUACAAAGGUAGCAUAAUCAAUAGUUUUUUAAUUAAAAGCUGGUAUGAAUGAUUUGAUAAGGUAAAUAUUGUCUCAAGUUUAAUAUUAUUAUAAUUUUUUUUUUAGUAAAAAUACUAAAUUGAAUUUAAAAGACGAGAAGACCCUAUAGAUUUUUAUAUAUUUUAUAUUAAAUUAAUUUAAAUAUAUAAAAAAUUUUUAAUAAAAAAUAUAUUAGAUUGGGGUAAUUAUUAAAUUAAAUAAAUUUUAAAAGUUUAAAGACAAUAAUUAUUGAUUAUUUGAUCUUAAAUAUUUAAAUUAAGAGAGUAAAAUACCUUAGGGAUAACAGCGUAAUUUUUUUGGAGAGAUCUUAUUGAUAAAAAAGUUUGCGACCUCGAUGUUGAAUUAAGAUUAAAUUUUAAUGCAGAAAUUAAAAAUUUUUAGUCUGGUCGACUAUUAAAAUCUUAC
rnacentral:rRNA from 1 species